rnacentral:lncRNA from 1 species
GUGAGUCAGACUUCCGGGACCACAGGGGCCGUGUCCUGCCCAGCACGAGUCAAGAGGCCUCGCCCAGAGCCCCGCUGGUUCCCAGCCGCACCCACUGGCAGGACUGGACUCGCAACUCCAACUCCACGCAGGCUUCGGGCCAAGCCGGGUCAGGGCGAGGUGCUGCCCAGAUGGCCAGGUCCUGGCUCAGCCAGGUGCCCUGCCCGUGGCUGCUGGCAUCUGAGUGGCAGGGCUGCUCCAAAACAGAGACAGACAGCCUCCAAAUCCUCCUGACCUCAAACCGGGUUCUUUCCCCACCGAGGCCCAACGUGCCGAUGAGGACAGGCCCAGGAGACAGGAGGGAAACCGAGGCAUGGGAGCGCAUCCUGUCGUGUCUGCAGUGCUGGAGAGGACGUCACUGUGAGCAGCUCCAAGCGCCAGAGCCUCCGAGGCUCCGGCAGAGCCAGGCUGGUGGUGAGGGCUACAGACCGCCGGCCCAGACUUCAGGAACACACCAUCCCUCUGGGCUGAGACUGCAGGUCUGUGAUCCGGGCAUUCGCAGAGACUGAGAGCAGCGUCCCCACUCUGUCCUGGCCAUCAGCAGCAUCUCAGCCUUCAUGUGUACGGUGUCCCCAGAGUCUGCAGAGACGUCCCUGUGUAUCCGGACACUGGGCAUCAGUCCACAUAACCCAGGCCAGCCUCGAUCUCCCCGGGAUCUUCCUGCCUCAGCCUCCCGAGUGCUACAAUCACAGGCACCACUACGCUGGGCUCCUUUUUCACUGGCUUAUUUUAUAUUAAGAAGGACUGUGAGAAUCUCUCUAGGCGGAUAGUUUCAGUUCUUCUACAGGAGAUGCAGGUGACCCCUGACCUGCAGAGCACCCCCGGGGCCAGGCCAUCAGGGGGACUCCAGAGGGGCCCAAGGCCGCCGCUGACCAGGGCAGACCCAAGUGGGCG